GAAAGGAAAUAUUCGGUAAAAGAUGGGCCCGCAUCUGAUUAGCUAGUUGGUGAGAUAACAGCCCACCAAGGCGACGAUCAGUAGCCGACCUGAGAGGGUGACCGGCCACAUUGGGACUGAGACACGGCCCAAACUCCUACGGGAGGCAGCAGUGGGGAAUAUUGCACAAUGGGGGGAACCCUGAUGCAGCAACGCCGCGUGAAGGAAGACGGUUUUCGGAUUGUAAACUUCUAUCAAUAGGGAAGAAAGAAAUGACGGUACCUAAAUAAGAAGCCCCGGCUAACUACGUGCCAGCAGCCGCGGUAAUACGUAGGGGGCAAGCGUUAUCCGGAAUUACUGGGUGUAAAGGGAGAGUAGGCGGCAAGGUAAGCGAUAUGCGAAAGCCUUAGGCUUAACCUGAGGAUUGCAUAACGAACUAUCUAGCUAGAGUACAGGAGAGGAAAGCGGAAUUCCUAGUGUAGCGGUGAAAUGCGUAGAUAUUAGGAAGAACACCAGUGGCGAAGGCGGCUUUCUGGACUGAAACUGACGCUGAGGCUCGAAAGCGUGGGGAGCGAACAGGAUUAGAUACCCUGGUAGUCCACGCUGUAAACGAUGAGUGCUAGGUGUCGGGGAGGAAUCCUCG
rnacentral:rRNA from 1 species